AACAGAUGGAGCGCCUUCCAUCAAGGACCUCAAUGCACCUUAGAAACAUCAUGAGUCAUCAAAGCCCUUCUGUAAUGGAGGUAAAUAUCCAUGGCCACAAUUUUACAGUUAAAGAAGCACGAAGAAGUCUAACAACGGUUAGAAGUACUUCUUUAUAGCUGGGAAUGAGACAACCAGGUGAAAUGUGGACCCUGGAGAAACUCCAACCAGCCUGCCCACUGAAGUGGACCCUCAGGUAGUUGGUACCCUUUGCAGCGGGGAGAAGCUUGGCCCCUCCUCUUCCUGUGUGGAAGCUGGGAUUCAAAUGGCAGGAGACAGGAACUCUGUCUUUAGCUGAACUAAGGAAAAGUCCUGCAACAGCAUGAUGCUGGUGUGUCCAGAAUUGGUUCCUGCCGGUGGGAUCGUGGUCUCACUGACUUCAAGAACGAAGCCGCAGACCUUGGCGGUGAGUGUUAUAGCUCUUAAAGAUGGCAUGGACCCAAAGAGUGAGUGGUAGCAAGGUUUAUUGUGAAGUGUGAAAGGACAAAACUUCUACGGCAUGGAAGGGGACCCGAGCAGGUUGCUGCUUCUGGCUGGGGUGGCCAACUUUUAUUCCCUUAUUGUCCCCUUCCAUGUUCCAUUUCUGUCCUAUCACAGUGCCCUUUUUUCAAUCCUCCCCGCAAUUGGCUACUUUUAUAAUCCUGCUUAUUGGUGCAUUUUACAGAGUGCUGAUUGGUGUGUUUUACAAUCCUCGUGUAAGACAGGAAAGUUCCCCAAAUCCCCACACAACCCAAGAAGUCCAGCUGGCCUCACCUCUCACUGACAUCUUCUCGGGAGCCCUCAAGAAGCUUUCAUGGUGGAAGGCAAAGGGGAAGCCAGCACGUCUUCCACGGCCAGAGCCGGAGCAAGAGAGAGACAGAGGAGAUGCCCCACACUAUUUAAAUGAACAGAUCUCAUGAGAACUCACUCACUAUCACAAGAACAUCAGCAAGGGGGAAAUCUGCCCCAUGAGCCAAUCACCUCCCACCAGGCCCCACUUCCAAUAUUGAAGAUUACAAUUCAACAUGUGAUUUGGGCAGGGACACACAUCCAAGCCAUAUCAAUAACUCAACUAAUCCAAACUGGAGGGGCAAACAAGCAGCUGGGGCCCUACACUGAUCCUCAGUUGCCCAACUUCUUUGGGCUUUGAUAAAAACAGAUGCAUUUCUGACAUCAUAUUUUUUUUUAAUUAAGAUUUUCUAGAGAGACAGGGUCUCAUGAUAUUGUUUAGGCUGGUCUCUAGCUCCUGGCCUCAAGCAAUUCUUCCACGUUGGCCUCCCAAAGUGCUGGGAUUACAAACGUGAGCCACUGUGCCUGGCCUGUCAUCAUAAUUUAAAUGGAGAAAACAUUAUUUUAAAUCACUUGGUCCUGAAAAAUCUUAAUGGUUUGGUUGAUUAUAUACAAAUAUAUGCUUGUGCAUUCUUUGUGCUAUUUCUAGUAGUUUUGCUUACAGGUUUAUUUCAUACAGCUGUUAGUGUCAUUUUUCCAGUACUAAAAAAUAUCCUAACAGCAGUAAUACACCACACAAUUAAAAUGACCACACACACACACACACAGACACGCACAGGCACAUAUCUCUCUAUUGUUAAUGGUCUAGUAGUCAGAUUCAAAAUGGAGAAAUUUGUUGUAAAGAUAUUAACACACAAUGGUCUUUAUAGAUCAUUGCUUCCAAAGAUGCACUAAAAGUUGAAAUUGUGUUCAUUUUCUGGGAAAAUUAAUAUGUAACAUUCUGAAAGUCUGCAUCUUUCAUUGGUCCUUCUAAUAGGCUCACGGUUUCAUUUCCUUUGUUUUGCUCAAGUCAGUAAUGCAAAUGUUAAGCUCCCUCUAUUAGUGCCCCUUAAAAGUAAGUUGAUACUUUGGAGCUCUUAAGUGGACCUAAAUGGUUUUUCAGGCAUUAUCAUUUCUGUUUUCCACUAGCCAGGGAGACCCUAAGGGUGGGGAGACAUGGCUUCUUUGUAACCCUCACAAUGCCCGUACAGUCCAUUAUGGGCUUAGUAGGAUUUUUUGUUAUUAACUUGGGAAUGCCGUAGUUGUCUGUAGAAGUGAACAGGAAAUAAACAUUGUCUACAUGUGGAAAUGAUGCAAAUUUUAAACUCUUAUAGUACACUUUUCAAGCCAAUUUUAAGUUGAGACUCAGAGUGUAGAAAAGUAAGCCUUCUAUAAUGUAUCUCUGAGCAGGGCCAUUUUACUUAAAAUUAGUGAAGUUGUCUCCUUGACCUGUUGAAGACUCAAUGAAAAUAAAUUAGAGCUGAGCUUUAAACCAUUCAUUCCUUCCCACUUCCCAUGUUUCUAAUUGUUUUGGGUCCUGAUUUAGAGAAAGCCAAUAAAAUAUUAUGGCUUUCUAAGCUAUCAAUUAAUGGACAAUUUAGAAAAUGCUUAUGGGUUGUCUUCCAUCUCCAAACUUGGUGGAGCAAAUUGAAAUGGAUGACUCAUGUCUAGGGGAUCAAGCAUGUUAAAUCAAUGAACAUGUUUGCUUGAAUCUCAUCUCCUAAUGAGCUGAAACAGAUAGAACAUUUCUCAUGCAUCCAGAUGGAAUUAUUUUGGAAAGUAAACUAAUGCACAUGCCCACACAAAAUUCCUCUGCUAUCUCUAGCCAGAUUCUGUUAGCUGUUCACCAAGAUGAUUUACCAACAAUAUGAGGUUGGGCUGCUUCUUUAUAUUAUUGGCUCCACAGGAAUUCUUCCAGAAGACAAUAUUUUUUCUAUUUUGUUUUGUUCAAUUUAAUAAUAUCAUGUACAAUAUUUUCUAGAUGCUGUGAGUUUGUAUGUGUAUCUUGAAUGUGGGGGAGGUUUAGGUUUUAUGACAGUAAGUGGAAUUCACUUAUUAAGGUUAUUUGACUUAGAAUUGAUUAUUUAUGCCAAUACUUGCUAAUAUUUAAAAUUAUUUCACUGUUCAUUGCCCUUACUAUGUAAAACUCUCUUGAAAGUCACUAAGAAAAAACAUAAACAACUCAAAAUAAAAAAGUAAAUUGGAAUAACUUUUGGAGGUCAGUUUUCCAAUGUGUAUCAAAAGCCCUAAAAAAUAUACUUCCCGUG
rnacentral:lncRNA from 1 species